rnacentral:rRNA from 1 species
CCUUGUACACACCGCCCGUCACGCCAUGGAAGCUGGGGGACCUGAAGCCGGUGGGCUAACCGCAAGGGGCAGCCGUCAAAGGUCAAUUCAGUGACUGGGGCG